rnacentral:rRNA from 1 species
UACGGGGGGUGCGAGCGUUAGUCGGAAUAACUGGGCGUAAAGGGUACGCAGGCGGCCUUUUAAGUGAGUUGUCAAAUCCCCGGGCUUAACCUGGGAAUUGCAAUUCAUACUGGGAGUCUAGAGUACUUUAGGGAGGGAGAGAAUUCCCCGUGUAGCGGUGAAAUGCGUAGAGAUGGGGAGGAAUACCGAAGGCGAAGGCAGCCCCCUGGG